UUGAAAUAAACCUGAUGAGUUGUUGCUGGUUCUCUCUAGAGAGCAUUGUGCACGCUUGUCAUCUUUAUGUCUCCACCUGUGCACAUUUUGUAGACCUGGAUAACUCUCUGAAAUGCCAACCACAGCAUUUUAGGUUGGAGGAAUUUGACUUUGUUGUCUUUCCUUACAUUUCUAGGUCUAUGUUCUUUUUCAUAUAAUCUUAUUGUGAUAUAAUGGACCCUAUAUAAUAUAAACUAUA
rnacentral:misc_RNA from 1 species